AUUGAACGCUGGCGGCAGGCCUAACACAUGCAAGUCGAACGGUAACAGGAAGAAGCUUGCUUCUUUGCUGACGAGUGGCGGACGGGUGAGUAAUGUCUGGGAAACUGCCUGAUGGAGGGGGAUAACUACUGGAAACGGUAGCUAAUACCGCAUAACGUCGCAAGACCAAAGAGGGGGACCUUCGGGCCUCUUGCCAUCGGAUGUGCCCAGAUGGGAUUAGCUAGUAGGUGGGGUAACGGCUCACCUAGGCGACGAUCCCUAGCUGGUCUGAGAGGAUGACCAGCCACACUGGAACUGAGACACGGUCCAGACUCCUACGGGAGGCAGCAGCGGGGAAUAUUGCACAAUGGGCGCAAGCCUGAUGCAGCCAUGCCGCGUGUAUGAAGAAGGCCUUCGGGUUGUAAAGUACUUUCAGCGGGGAGGAAGGGAGUAAAGUUAAUACCUUUGCUCAUUGACGUUACCCGCAGAAGAAGCACCGGCUAACUCCGUGCCAGCAGCCGCGGUAAUACGGAGGGUGCAAGCGUUAAUCGGAAUUACUGGGCGUAAAGCGCACGCAGGCGGUUUGUUAAGUCAGAUGUGAAAUCCCCGGGCUCAACCUGGGAACUGCAUCUGAUACUGGCAAGCUUGAGUCUCGUAGAGGGGGGUAGAAUUCCAGGUGUAGCGGUGAAAUGCGUAGAGAUCUGGAGGAAUACCGGUGGCGAAGGCGGCCCCCUGGACGAAGACUGACGCUCAGGUGCGAAAGCGUGGGGAGCAAACAGGAUUAGAUACCCUGGUUGUCCACGCCGUAAACGAUGUCGACUUGGAGGUUGUGCCCUUGAGGCGUGGCUUCCGGAGCUAACGCGUUAAGUCGACCGCCUGGGGAGUACGGCCGCAAGGUUAAAACUCAAAUGAAUUGACGGGGGCCCGCACAAGCGGUGGAGCAUGUGGUUUAAUUCGAUGCAACGCGAAGAACCUUACCUGGUCUUGACAUCCACGGAAGUUUUCAGAGAUGAGAAUGUGCCUUCGGGAACCGUGAGACAGGUGCCGCAUGGCUGUCGUCAGCUCGUGUUGUGAAAUGUUGGGUUAAGUCCCGCAACGAGCGCAACCCUUAUCCCUUGUUGCCAGCGGUCCGGCCGGGAACUCAAAGGAGACUGCCAGUGAUAAACUGGAGGAAGGUGUGGAUGACGUCAAGUCAUCAUGGCCCUUACGACCAGGGCUACACACGUGCUACAAUGGCGCAUACAAAGAGAAGCGACCUCGCGAGAGCAAGCGGACCUCAUAAAGUGCGUCGUAGUCCGGAUUGGGGUCUGCAACUCGACUCCAUGAAGUCGGAAUCGCUAGUAAUCGUGGAUCAGAAUGCCACGGUGAAUACGUUCCCGGGCCU
rnacentral:rRNA from 1 species